GCCAACAUGGCAUAAUGGUUUGAGCAUUAGACUACAACUCAGGAGACCAGGGUUCAAAUCCCAGCUCAGCCA